UUGACCCCACCUUUUGGUGUUUGAAUCCUGCUGCCAUGGGCAUGUGUGUACAAGGAUUUGAGAUGUGUUUUCAGUUCAUUUGGAUCUAUACCUAGGAGUGCCAUUGCUGGGUGGGGAUGAAACCAAGAGAAUGAAACACCAGAUGGGCAAGCAUGCUGAGCUCUUUGGAGAAGAGAGGCUGUGUAAAUCCAAAUCCUUCUUUUAUUGGAGAAACAAAGCAAAUGACUCCAAAUCAUCCUCACUUUAUCGUGCCGGCGCAAGUCAGUCUGGAAGAUGGAAAUGGCAUUUGAAGGCACCUGAAUGAAUCAUCAGGCCGUAAAUAAACAGAAGGAAAGCACUUGAAAUUCCCUGGAUGCAGCUAAGGCGUUUUCGACGGCAUUCAUCUGUGAAAUGCUGGCUGCAAGAAGGAGACAUUCUGGUGGGUGGAGGAAAGACGGCACUCUCUGUUCCUGUCACUCAUUCCCAUUGGGGGAGCAAAAAGGACUGCAGGAAAAUGCAUGAAUGAGUUUUGUUGUUUCUAAGAUUACUAGAA